UCGCGAUGGAGCAUUGAAGGUCCCACAUUGGCCUUGGCCGAUGGUGUGAGAUCCCAAGAGAGCGACUAGAUCUUGCACAGAGAGGCCACGGCUUUGAAAGUUGGCGACGAGCAUGGAAACAUUGAAGAAGAAAGGUGGAAGUUCUACGUUUGCAGCCGUCUGGCUGUCUCGCCGGCCAAAGGUAACGGUCCAUGUUGGUCCAUUCAGCUGGUCAAUGUUCAUCCUAAGUGGUAUAAUUAUUGUCAUUACCACAGCCGACCGACGUGCACGAUCAUAUCAGCACAUGAGACAGUGUUUAAAGUCUUUAUGUUUUCAAUCACGUUGUAUCCUCGCAAGGAGUUUAUGUUUGGGAAAGCAAACUGCUCAUUCUUUGAGCCAUUCAGCAUAAUGGAUGCAUCACAUCCCUGCAAAUUAUUCUUAAUUUUCCUGCUUAAUAGAAAGGGGAAAGCUUUUCUUACAUUCACAUGACAGUCGUGAAAGAAGAGUCGAACUAAAGAUGCACACAUUUGUGGCUCGCUUGCCACAAACUGCAGCUUGGACAAUUCCUGUGAGAUUUGAACAAGAACGUUGGGCUCAAGUUUGCAAGCGCAUGGCCAGACAUUGCAAACAAAAGAAAGAUGCUAAUCAUGAUGCUUGAAGCCAUUCUUAGUGAUAAUCAAAAUAUGCAAGUUUAUUAUGGAUUUGGCCUUUCUUUAUAUACAAGGGAGCUGAUCAAGACAAUUAAGUGAAACUCUUGACGCAAGCAAUAUUGACUUUCAGAGUUGAGAAAAUGAUAAUUAAGAUUAGCUUGUGACGCUAAUUGUGGGUGGGUUGGCAGAAAAAAUAUCGGAAUUCUUUGCGUGGGUGUUAGAAAUCAGAUUCGGAAAAUAUGGCUCUCUCCAGGCAGACCCAGUGCGCCAACUUGAAGGCUCGGCUCUACAGGCCCUUCCAAAGCGGUGACCAGACGUUGCAAAGCUCGUGCGUGGGCAGCAAUGGCGACACCAAUCUCUCGCCGCUCGACAUCCAGACGCCCACCAGCUUUGACAAUCGCUACUUUAGGAACUUGCAUAACCGGAGAGGGUUGCUCUUCUCGCUCUUUUCCGGGGACCAGUUCAGCAGGAGGAAUCUUGCCAAAUCAUAGGCUUCGAGCCAGAGCACCUUCUUCCAGUACUUUGGUAAUGCAAUGGUAAGGAUGGGUAAUAUCAACGUGUUGACUGGAUCCAAUGGAGAGAUUCGAAGAAGUAUCUUGAUAAAUACCUUGGAACCAAGGGAUAAUAAUUUUUAUUUAUUGAAAAAAUCUAGUUCACUUUGCCACAGUAUUUACGGAUCUGUCCAUUUGGAGCUAAGAGCGGCUUGAGGUUUCCCAUAUUGAUCAUUCCAGUCGCAAAGUCCUGGAAAAAUCGUGCUUGAUUCAUGGCAUAAGUGUGCACCAGCUGCGCAACCGUCCAAUCGCCACCACUCCACAGUGUCUGGUCAGAGUGGAACAAUCCACUGAAAUUUAUCAAGUUCUUGUAAUACUUGUUGUCAAACACCACUGGAGUUUGCAAAUCUAGAGGAGAAAGGUUUGAGUCACCACCACUGCUAGGACACUGGCUCCUGAGCGACUGAUUGUAGUAAGGGUUCAUGUAAUCUGGCGAAGAGCUCAGUGAUGGACCAUAAAGGCGAGACUUGAAGUUCCCACAUUGGCCUUGGCCAAUGGUGUGAGAUCCUGAGAGAGCGACUAGAUCUUGCACGGAGAGACCAUGGCUUUGAAAGUUAGCGAUGAGCCUGGAAACAUUGAGGAAGAAAGGUGGAAGUUCUACGUUUGCAGCCGUCUGGUUUGCCGUGAGGCUGUCUCGCCGGCCAAAGGUAACGGUCCAUGUUGGUCCAUUCAGCUGGUCAAUACAGAAUUAGUUCUACUUAAUGGUAUAAUUACUGUCAUUACCGCC
rnacentral:lncRNA from 1 species